GGAUCAUUGGUUUAGAGGUUAUAACGCUUGCUUCACACGCAAGAGGUCGCCAGUUCGAUCCUGGCAUGAUUCA